rnacentral:tRNA from 3 species
GGGCGGUUAGCUCAGUUGGUAGAGCGCCUGGUUUACACCCAGUAGGUCGUGGGUUCGAGUCCCUCACCGCCCA